UACGUAGGGAGCAAGCGUUGUCCGGAAUCAUUGGGCGUAAAGCGCGCGUAGGUGGCUUCGUAAGUCCGUUGUGAAAGUCAAAGGCUCAACCUUUGAAUGCCGAUGGAUACUGCGGAGCUAGAGUACGGAAGAGGCGAGUGGAAUUCCUGGUGUAGCGGUGGAAUGCGCAGAUAUCAGGAGGAACACCAAUAGCGAAGGCAGCUCGCUGGGACGUUACUGACACUAAGGCGCGAAAGCGUGGGGAGCGAACGAGG
rnacentral:rRNA from 1 species